UACGAAGGGGGCUAGCGUUGCUCGGAAUCACUGGGCGUAAAGCGCACGUAGGCGGAUCUUUAAGUCAGGGGUGAAAUCCCAAGGCUCAACCUUGGAACUGCCUUUGAUACUGGGGAUCUCGAGUCCGGAAGGGGUUGGUGGAACUGCGAGUGUAGAGGUGAAAUUCGUAGAUAUUCGCAAGAACACCAGUGGCGAAGGCGGCUCACUGGCCCGAUACUGACGCUGAGGUGCGAAAGCGUGGGGAGCAAACAGG
rnacentral:rRNA from 1 species